CCUGCUCCUAAAGGCAUUGCAGCUGUGACUGCUCUGUCACAUUUGCAUCAACAGGUGGCAGAGAGGAGAAAGGCUAUGUCUAUGACGCAUGUUCUGAACUAUGAACAUUUCAAUGAUUAGUAGCCUAACAUU